GUGAGUCAUCGAAUCUUUGAACGCACAUUGCGCCCCUUGGUAUUCUGAGGGGCAUGCCCGUUCGAGCGUCAUUAUAACCCCUCAAGCCUAGCUUGGUGUUGGGGCCUGCUGUAACCGGCAGCCCUUAAAAUCAGUGGCGGUGCUAUCUGGCUCUAAGCGUAGUAAUACUUCUCGCUACAGGGUCCCGGUGGAUGCUUGCCAUGAACCCCUAAUUUUCUAUGGUUGACCUCGGAUCGGGUAGGGAUACCCGCUGAACUUAAGCAUAUCAAUAAGCGGAGGA
rnacentral:misc_RNA from 1 species